UCUUGUCAUCUGAAUAUCAUUUCAAAUUUUUUCUUUUGACGGUUCAGUUUUUUGGGAAAGUUUGUUCUUUCAAAAAACCGAUUCUUCUGCUUUUCUUUACUUUCCUCUCAUUUCUCUUCUUCCCCUUCCAUUCUCAAUCCGGUUCUCGUCUCCAGUCAAUCCUUCGUUGAUUUUCAGCAUACCCUGGGACCCUUAUUUCCAGGUACAUCUCUUCCUUUCUUUUUAGAGUUUUUAUUGCCAAUGUAUGCGCAAGGGCGUUUGCAGAUCUUAGUAUAUGUUUGAAUAUGAAACUUCUAGAUAUAUUUAAUUUCUGUUGAAUAUCGUAUAUAUAUGCUCCAAUAUGUGAACGAUCUUGACUUUUUGUUACACAUUUCUUGAUUAUUCUGAGAGAGCCUCCUUUUAUUAUAACCUUCGGCCAUUCCUAUUCCACUCCUACUUGGACCGCUUUCCUACAUGUGAUUGCUUCAGCUGCAAAUGCGAAAGUUACCCCAUGAUGGAUCUCUAAGCAGAAAGUAAGACAACCCAUUCUUCGUUUCUGACAACAAUCCCUGAGGCAGAUUGGUGGUGAUUCGCAUCAUACGCACCAUCAAAAUUAAUUUUUACGAAUUCAUUAGGUGGAUAACUCCAUCUUCUUAUCUCCUUCCCCUUUACUGGAUUUCUCAUUUCUAAACCAUUUAAUUCAGCCAUAUAGUUGUUGAUGAAAUCUGCUAUUUCCUGCCCUGUACUAUUUUUCUGCUCAUGUAUUCUUCGUUUCUGACAACAGAAGAGGCGGCUCUGGUAUGAAGUAAGCUGAUCAAAGAUCCAGGUAAUCCAUUGUAAAAAAAAUCCAUGUUAGGAUCUAGAAUAAAAUUUUGAAUUUUUAAUAGUGUCCAAACUUCUAUUGUGACAGGACAUUCGCGAAAAAUAUGGUCGAUUGUUUCAGCCAUUUCUCCACAUCGGGGGCAGCUUGUACUACUAACAAGUUUUCGGUGCUGCAUAUUAACCCUGUCGGCAAAUAGUUCCAUGAAAUUCUCCAUACUGUAACUUUGAUUUUAUUUGGAAGAUUUAGGAGUCAAAGUUUUUUGUAAAAAUUCCUGUAAUCAAUUUGUAAAGCGUAAGCUCUAGGAAUUUCAUCAAAAGUUUGUAAUAGUUUAUAGGCACUGCAGACCGAAAACUCGCCUGAAUACGCGCCUCUUCAGACAAGUAGAUCAUUGUGAGGUGUGUAUGCUAAAGGUAUCCGGAGGAUUUUUCCAGCAUCUUCCUUUGAAAAGGUAUUCUUUAUAAGUUCUCUUUUCCAUGUUCUCUCAUUACUGUUGAUCAACUCACUAGCCUUGACAUCACACAUACAAUUAACAACUGAAGAUAAUUUAACAUUAACAGCAUCUGGAAUCCAAGCAUUAGCAUUGAUAGAAAUAUUUGUACCUGUACCAACCCUCCAACAUAUUCUUUUUUUCCAAAAUACCCUUCACUGCCCAUAUGCUUUUCCAUAUAUAAGAACUGGUUUUCCCCAAUCGAGAAUUUAAAAAAUAUUCAUUUGUGAAAUAUUUUGUUUUAAAAACUCACAUAACCAAAGAAUCUUGAUUAGUAAUAAUCCUCCACCCUUGCUUAGCUAGUAAUGAAAUAUUGAAUUGAGCUAGAUUUCUAAAGUCCAUUCUCCCUCCUCUUUUGAUCGACAUAUAAAUUUCCAUUAACACUAGUGUAUCCCUUUCCUUCCCUAUCCUUUUUGCCACCAGAAUUUAGCGAAAAUAUUUUCUAACUCCUCACAUAAUAAUUUUGGUAGGAGGAAACAUAUCAUAGCAUAAGUUGGAAUUGCUUGAAGAACAGAUUUUAUAAAGACCUCAUUUUCCCCUUGUGAUAGUAACCUUGUACUCCAGCUUUCAAUUCUUGACUUAACUUUAUCUUUGAGAUUCUAAAAAGCUUUCUUCUUUUGUUUGCCUACAACAUUAGGGAGUCCUAGAUAUUUUUCCAAAUUUGUGGAGCAUCUCAUACCUAGUAAACUCGAGAUUUCUUCUGUCUCUUUCUGCUGUAUUUGAGCUAUAGAAAAUUGUCGAUUUGCUAAAAUUCACGCAUCGACCUGAUUGUUCAUAUUCUUUCAAAAUGUCUUUUAAAAUUCUUGCCCUUCUAUUUGUCGCUUCACCAAAUAGUAUACAGUCAUCUGUAAACAGCAAGUGCGAUAUUUCUGGUCAUUUUCUACUAACCCUCACUCACUUCAUCAAUCCCUCAGCUAUUGCUAAUCUUAUCAAAGAUGAGAUUCCCUUAUUGCAUAUUAAAAAAAAAGGGCUAAGCGGGUCACCCUGACGAAGCCCUCUAGUCGGCUUAAAAACAUUUCCUCUUCUCCCAUUGAUAUUCAUUGUAUAAGAGACUGUAGAGAUACAUUUCAUGAUUAAUGUCGCCCAUUCCAUUGUAAAUCCCAUUUGAAGCAUAACUUCCUUUAGAAAAGCCCACUUAACUUAUCAUAAGCCUUGUUCAUAUCUAGUUUUACUGCCAUAAGCCCUUUUUUCCCAGUUAGUUUUGACGUAGCAUAUGUAAUAGUUUAUAUGCUAUAAGCACAUUGUUAGUAAUUAAUCUUUCGGGAACGAAAGCACUUUGAGCUUUGUCAAUACAUUUUCCAAUGACUUCCUAAAGAUGAUUUGUAAAUGUUUUUGCCAUAAUUUUGUAUAAAAUUGUGCAUAAGCUGAUAGGUCUAAAAUUAACAAGACUUGUGGGAUUUGGUACUUUUGGGAUAAGUACAAUAUCUGUAAGGUUUAGAGAGUCAAAAUCCCUUCCAUCAUUCAGAAGUCCCAAGCAAAAAACUUUCAAGAGCUUUACCUACAAUGUGCCAAAAUCUUUGAAAAAAUAAAGCAGGAAAUCCAUCAUAACCUGGUGCUUUAGUGGGCCCUAUUCCUUUCAAAGCUGAAAAUACCUUUUCUGUCGUAAAUGGUAUUAGUAAAUCUGUAUAGAUAUCAGAUGAAAUAUUAGUAUUAAUGCCCUUUAGAAGGUGGGAUAAAUUCCCAAUUCCCUUUGACGAAAAUAAAUUCUAAAAGUAAUUUGAAGCGGCCUCAUUAAUCGCUGAUUCAUCAUAAAUUUCCUUCCCUUCAUCAGAUUCCAGCCUAGUAAUAGUGUUAAUUUGUCUACGAGCUAAGGCAUAUUUGUGAAAAAAGGCAAAAUUUUUAUCUUCUAAUUGAAGCCAAUUGGCUCGUGCCCUCUGUUCCCAAGACAUUUCGUCUUUAGCAAUCUCCAUAUUAAGUUGAAUUCUAGUAUCAAUCAGCUUUGCCAUUGUGUCAUCAUCCCUAUCGCUUGCCAGUAGAUCUUCAAGUUCCUUUGUGAACUUAGUCUUUAACCUAUCUCAACCCUGCUUUAUUGAGCUUGCCCACCUUAUAUCUGCAGCCUUCUAAACUUUUCAAUAAUAGAUCCAUUUGAUGACUCCCAUGAUUUUAUAAUCUCUCGUUCAAUAGAUGCCUUCAUGGUCCACCAUGCCUUUAAUUUGAAUCUUGGAAUCCCCUUAUAGUUCUUCUCAUUAUUAGUACUGAUAAGUAGGGGAUAAUGAUCUGAAAUCGAGUGUGUUAAAUGAUGAAUAAUUCCUUUUGGGAAAAGAUGCAUCCACUUUUCAUUCGCCACUCCCCUAUCCAGUUGCUCUUUAAUAUUUAUUUUCGGUAGAUUCCUCCCUUCCGUGUAAACCAAACCCCUGAAUACCCCAUGUCCAUUAAUUGACAUUCUUCUAAAACCUCACUUAAAGUUUUCAUUCUUUUCUCCUCCUUCGAUUAACGUCCACUUUUUUUUUAAAAGAAUACAUUAUUUCAUUAAAAUCACCUCAUACCAACCAUUGGUGGUUUUGAUCCUGACCCAACUUCCUUAACAAAUUCCACGAGACACUCUUAUUAUUAACAUAAAGUGAAUCGUAAAACCCUGUAAAGCUCCACUCUUCAUUGAAAUUGUCCUCUUUUAUCAUCACAUCAAUAUGGCUUUUUGAGAAAUUGUUUGGACAAACCGUAAUACCUGCUUUCUAUGCCAUACAAAUUUCAUCUCUAAAACCUUCAACUCCUACAUCAAUCCCAUUUUCAAAACCAUAUCUCCUCCUAAUUUUUUUCAUGCGCUUUUCGUCUAUUUUGGUCUCCAUAAGGAAGACUAUUUAGGGUUUAUGUUGCUUCAGCAAAUACUGAAGCCUUCUCACUGACCGUGAACUCCCCAAUCCACGAACGUUCUAGCAAAUGGUUUUCAUUGUGCCCGGUCGACUUGCCAUUUGGCAGUUGACGAUUUAUUUUGGUUGGUAAUACACCCUUGCUUGAGAAUUUUUACCAACAAAAUUAUGCCUCCUUCGAUAUGAAAGUCUUGGCCGUCGUACUUCAUUCUUUUUGCUUCCUCUUUACAGGAUUUUCCUUUGCCAUUGUCUUUAAUUUCUAUAUCCUCUGAUUUUCUUUUUCUCAAUAUACUCUCUCCGUUACAAAUAUCCACCUCUCUUACUACCUCAAUUCUCUUCCAACUCGAUUUCUUGGCUGGUUUCAAAAUUCCUGCGUAAUUAUUAUUUUCCCCAUUUGCUUUUUCUUCCACAACUAUCUCUUCCUCCUGUAUCAUCAUCCCUUUCUCUGUUUCUGUAAAUUGUAAACUAUCUUGGAUUUUUUGGGCCAUGUCACUUUUAUCCUUCUCUUGAAAAUUUAACUCAAGAAUCUUCUCUAUAUCACCUGUAUAUGAACAUUGAGGCUGCACCUUCUUUGAAAAGACAUUAAAAUUUAAACUCUCCCUUUCAAUAAAAUUUACUUCUGCUUUUAAUGCUAAAGAAUAAAGAAGAUCAUCUCUGAUUUUAUUUUUUUUACAGGUGUAAAAUUGAGGCAUUCGAUGAGCCCAUGCUCCACAUUCCAUAGUCAAACCAGAAUGUUGGUAAUUUUUCAUAUUUAAAAGGGAUUCAGGACUUACUUUGAUUUUCAGUUGAGACGAAAAUACCCCUGCGCAAGGGUUUUUGCACAUCUAACUGAACUCUAAGCUGACAGAAUUCACCAUUAAUUGUAGAUCUCAGAACGCCUCCAAAAGUAACCCCAAUAGCAUGCAUUAAAUCUUUUUUUAUCAAAUUCUGGUAAACAUGGUCCAAUUUUAAUCCAAAACGGGGAUGAAUUAAGCCUAAUAUGACUUAUUUCCAUCGGUUUAUUCAACUGAUCAAAGAGCAUUAAAUUUUUCUGAAACAACCAUGAUUGCCC
rnacentral:lncRNA from 1 species